rnacentral:rRNA from 1 species
AUAAAGGAUAAUUAGUGGCAGACGGGUGAGUAAUGCAUAGGAAUCUACCUAGUAGUAUGGGAUAGCCACUAGAAAUGGUGGGUAAUACUGUAUAAUCCCUGCGGGGGAAAGAUUUAUCGCUAUUAGAUGAGCCUAUGUUAGAUUAGCUAGUUGGUAGGGUAAAGGCCUACCAAGGCGAUGAUCUAUAGCUGGUCUGAGAGGAUGAUCAGCCACACUGGAACUGAGAUACGGUCCAGACUCCUACGGGAGGCAGCAGUGGGGAAUAUUGGACAAUGGGCGCAAGCCUGAUCCAGCUAUGCCGCGUGAGUGAGGAAGGCCUUAGGGUUGUAAAACUCUUUCAGUAGGGAAGAUAAUGACGGUACCUACAGAAGAAGUCCCGGCAAACUCCGUGCCAGCAGCCGCGGUAAUACGGAGGGGGCAAGCGUUGUUCGGAAUUAUUGGGCGUAAAGGGCAUGUAGGCGGUUCGGUAAGUUAAAGGUGAAAUGCCAGGGCUUAACCC